UUGACGGGACCGCACAGCGGUGGAUGAUGUGGUUUAAUCGAUGCAACGCGAAAAACCUUACCUACCUUUGACAUGUACGGAAUUCGCCAGAGAUGGCUUAGUGCUCGAAAGAGAACCGUUAACACAGGUGCUGCAUGGCUGUCGUCAGCUCGUGUCGUGAGAUGUUGGGUUAAGUCCCGCAACGAGCGCAACCCUUGUCAUUAGUUGCUACAUUUAGUUGGGCACUCUAAUGAGACUGCCGGUGACAAACCCGGAGGAAGGUGGGGAUGACGUCAAGUCCUCAUGGCCCUUAUAGGUAGGGCUACACACGUCAUACAAUGGAUGGUACAAAGGGUCGCCAACCCGCGAGGGGGAGCCAAUCCCAUAAAGCCAGUCGUAGUCCGGAUCGCAGUCUGCAACUCGACUGCGUGAAGUCGGAAUCGCUAGUAAUCGUGGAUCAGCAUGUCACGGUGAAUACGUUCCCGGGUCUU
rnacentral:rRNA from 1 species